AAGACUACACUUUCAGGGAUAAUUUCUAUAGUUCAUUACUAGAGAAGUUUCUCUGAAUAUGUAGAGCACCAUAAAAUAAAUUUUAUU
rnacentral:snoRNA from 1 species